AUGUCCAUGGCGCUGCGCAACUUGGCCACGAGGAUGCGGUCCCCGGCCGCCGCCGUCCUCCGUCCCCGCGUCUCGCCUUCGGCCGGCACGCGGCCCCUCCGCUCCAGGCUCUUCAGCUCCUUGGAGGAAGAUCAGGAAGAUGUGAAAAGGCUGUACCAAGAGAAUCUAGCUACACUUGAUCGAGUGAAGAAACACCAGGAAUUUAUGAGAUCGCGCAUUGGGUUUCUUGAGAAGAGCAACAAGUAUCUGAGUUGGUCUUUCAAGCUGCUUCUGCCUAUUCCCACCGCGGCUGUCAUCCUGAAAGCAAUCGACGGUUAG
rnacentral:rRNA from 1 species